rnacentral:rRNA from 1 species
UUUUCCGGUUGAUCCUGCCGGACCCUACUGCUAUCGGGGGAGGACUAAAACAUGCAAGUCGUGCGCCUCCAAGCCAUGGUGGAGACGCGGCAUACGGCUCAGUAACACGUGGCUAACCCACCCUUGAGACGGAGAAAACCCCGGGUAACUGGGGUUAAUCCCCGAUAAGAGAAGACACCUGGAACGAGUCUCCUUCCAAAAGGCGCCCAGACCAUGCUUUUAGGCGCUGCUCAAGGACGGGGCCGCGACCGAUCAGGUUGUUGGUGAGGCAAUGGCUUACCAAGCCUAUAACCGGUACGGGCCGUGAGAGCGGGAGCCCGGAGAUGGGCACUGAGACAAGGGCCCAGGCCCUACGGGGCGCAGCAGUUGCGAAAACUCCGCAAUGCACGAAAGUGUGACGGGGCUACCCCGAGUGCCGUCCGCUGAGGGCGGCUUUUCCCCGGUGUAAGGAGCCGGGGGAAUAAGGAGAGGGCAAGUCUGGUGUCAGCCGCCGCGGUAAUACCAGCUCUCCGAGUGGUAGGGAUAAUUAUUGGGCUUAAAGCGUCCGUAGCUGGCCUGGCAAGUCUUCCGUUAAAUCCAACGAUUCAAUCGUUGGACUGCGGGAGAUACUGUUGGGCUAGGGGGCGGGAGAGGCCGACGGUAUUCUCGGGGUAGGGGUAAAAUCCUAUAAUCCCGGGAAGACCACCAGUGGCGAAGGCGGUCGGCUAGAACGCGCUCGACGGUGAGGGACGAAAGCUGGGGGAGCGAACCGGAUUAGAUACCCGGGUAGUCCCAGCUGUAAACGAUGCGGGCUAGGUGUUGGAGCGGCUACGGGCCGCUUCAGUGCCGCAGGGAAACCAUUAAGCCCGCCGCCUGGGGAGUACGGCCGCAAGGCUGAAACUUAAAGGAAUUGGCGGGGGAGCACCACAAGGGGUGAAGCUUGCGGUUUAAUUGGAGUCAACGCCGGGA